UACGUAGGGGGCGAGCGUUGUCCGGAUUUAUUGGGCGUAAAGAGCGUGUAGGCGGCCAUACAGGUCAGCUGUGAAAACUCGAGGCUCAACCUCGAGACGUCGGUUGAAACCGUGUGGCUAGAGUCCGGAAGAGGAGAGUGGAAUUCCCGGUGUAGCGGUGAAAUGCGCAGAUAUCGGGAAGAACACCCGUGGCGAAGGCGGCUCUCUGGGACGGUACUGACACUGAGACGCGAAAGCGUGGGGAGCGAACAGG
rnacentral:rRNA from 1 species